rnacentral:rRNA from 1 species
CUAAGAAUAUUCCGCAAUGGACGAAAGUCUGACGGAGCGACGCCGCGUGGAUGAUGAAGGCCGAAAGGUUGUAAAAUCCUUUUGAACUGGAAGAAUAAGCAGUGUAGGUAAUGACAUUGUGGUGACGGUACAGUUUGAAUAAGCAACGGCUAAUUACGUGCCAGCAGCCGCGGUAACACGUAAGUUGCGAGCGUUGUUCGGAAUUAUUGGGCGUAAAGGGCAUGUAGGCGGUUAUCUAAGCUUGGUGUGAAAGGCAGGGGCGUCAACUCCUGGACUGCAUUGAGAACUGGAUAACUAGAGUUACUGAAGUGAAAU